UUUAUGGAGAGUUUGAUCCUGGCUCAGGAUGAACGCUGGCGGCGUGCCUAAUACAUGCAAGUCGAGCGAACGGACGAGAAGCUUGCUUCUCUGAUGUUAGCGGCGGACGGGUGAGUAACACGUGGAUAACCUACCUAUAAGACUGGGAUAACUUCGGGAAACCGGAGCUAAUACCGGAUAAUAUUUUGAACCGCAUGGUUCAAAAGUGAAAGACGGUCUUGCUGUCACUUAUAGAUGGAUCCGCGCUGCAUUAGCUAGUUGGUAAGGUAACGGCUUACCAAGGCAACGAUGCAUAGCCGACCUGAGAGGGUGAUCGGCCACACUGGAACUGAGACACGGUCCAGACUCCUACGGGAGGCAGCAGUAGGGAAUCUUCCGCAAUGGGCGAAAGCCUGACGGAGCAACGCCGCGUGAGUGAUGAAGGUCUUCGGAUCGUAAAACUCUGUUAUUAGGGAAGAACAUAUGUGUAAGUAACUGUGCACAUCUUGACGGUACCUAAUCAGAAAGCCACGGCUAACUACGUGCCAGCAGCCGCGGUAAUACGUAGGUGGCAAGCGUUAUCCGGAAUUAUUGGGCGUAAAGCGCGCGUAGGCGGUUUUUUAAGUCUGAUGUGAAAGCCCA
rnacentral:rRNA from 1 species